rnacentral:rRNA from 1 species
AUUGAACGCUGGCGGCAGGCCUAACACAUGCAAGUCGAACGAGUGGCGGACGGGUGAGUAAUGUCUGGGAAACUGCCUGAUGGAGGGGGAUAACUACUGGAAACGGUAGCUAAUACCGCAUACCAUCGGAUGUGCCCAGAUGGGAUUAGCUAGUAGGUGGGGUAAAGGCUCACCUAGGCGACGAUCCCUAGCUGGUCUGAGCGGAUGACCAGCCACACGGGAACUGAGACACGGUCGAGACUCCUACGGUAGGCAGCAGUGGGGAAUAUUGCGCAAUGGGCGCGAGGCUGAUGCAGCCAUGCCGCGUGUAUGAAGAAGGCCUUCGGGUUGUAAAGUACUUUCAGCGGGGAGGCGUUACCCGCAGAAGAAGCACCGGCUAACGCCGUGCCAGCAGCCGCGGUAAUUC